UCUGAUUUCCUCGUGUCAGCAUUGUUCCCACAUCAUCAUAAUUAAUGUUGUUCCAGGUUCAACAUUGCAAGUGACCAAUCACCUUCUUGUGACGUCAUUCCUUUGCGACUUCGAAAUACCCGCCUUCGAUUAUUUCGAAAUACAAGUGAAGAAGCGAAAAACCGCCGCCUGUCCGCCGAAUUUGAAGUCAAUUUAGGAUACUUUCCUUUAAUAAACGAAACUGUGACUCCUUCACAAUGUCAGAUUACCUUGUGGGAGUAGCUGGACCAAACUCUAUUGUAUUUCAAGUUUGAAAUCCCUGUUUGACCAGACUAACAUUUCAGAUGAGGUAAUAGAUGGCCUAAUCUAUUUGCAGUGUGAGAAUUUCCCUCACAUUUAUC